AUCUUCUUAACAUAUUUAAAUGUAAUAGAUUGUAAAUCUAGGAAUGGUUGAGGCCAGAAGAAA
rnacentral:tRNA from 1 species